UACGUAGGGGUGCAACGUUUGUCCGGAUUUAUUGGGCGUAAAGAGCUCGUAGGCGGCUUGUCGCGUCGACUGUGAAAUCCCGCGGCUCAACUGCGGGUCUGCAGUCGAUACGGGCAGGCUAGAGUUCGGUAGGGGAGACUGGAAUUCCUGGUGUAGCGGUGAAAUGCGCAGAUAUCAGGAGGAACACCGAUGGCGAAGGCAGGUCUCUGGGCCGAUACUGACGCUGAGGAGCGAAAGCGUGGGGAGCGAACAGG
rnacentral:rRNA from 1 species